GACACACAGUGUGAGGCACACGGGGCCCUGCACCCCAAAAACCCCAGAUCCAGGGCAGCCGAUCAGGGCGCUUGCACCCCCGCGCUGUUCCACUAGAGGGUUGUGGCGCUGCUGGAAAACCCGGAGCGGCCAGGGAAGCGGGGAAAGGAGAGUUGGGAAAGGCCGGGCCAGCUCGGCUGCUCCACGUCAGACCUCUCGCUCGGCUCCUGGGUGUGAGCCAAGGAGGCGGUGGCGAGAUUACAGCCCUGGGAUCUCUGUGAUCGGGAGAUUAGCGCCUGCCUGCUGCCUGAAGGCUCCCCGAAAAUGUCUGGGAGAAGGUCUGUCACUCCCUGAUUACCAGGGGAACACAAGUCACAGACAAACAUUCCAGCUACAUUACAGCUCCCAAGUACAGCCACUCCUGGCCUUUAAAUUCCUUUUUGUCCCCAGAAGCUAAAGCUGCCAGGGAAGAUGGGUGAGAAGCCAGCAGCUCGUGAGCUGAGUGCUGAGCAGUUCCAGUUUGGGGCUUUGUGGUUGUUUUUAUCUCCUGAGAAGCUCCAGUUUGGGCGUUUGUGGAGGUUUUUAUCCCCCACUAGUAAUAACUUAUCAUGAGGGUCCUCAAUCCCUGUAAUUUUUAUCUCUGGAAUAUUCCUAGGCUGUGAUAUUAUUUAAAAUAAAAGAUACACAAUCAGCUGCUCCAUCCCUGAAGUUUUUUGUCCCCUGUGCCCAAGGGGACCUAUGUGGGGACUUGAUCUUCAGAGAGAAGAAUCAGUUCCUGGACUAAUCUUUUACUUUAGGCAGAACAAAAUCUGGGGGUUAAUUUUGUAUUUUCUUAACUCUCACAAGGCCAAUUCAGGUUUUACCAACCCCGGUGAUGGGGUCUGUCACAGAUUCCUUUGGGAAGGGGACACAAUGAAGGAUUUGCCCUACAAGAAAUGAAUCCACGUCCCCUUUGAGCAGCCCCACCAGGUGUUGCUGCCUCACCUGUACCUGGGCUGGAUUUAAAUCCAUGACCCAGAGGCACCAGUACAGGGCGAGGGCUUGAGCAACUCACCCGGCAUCUUUGGAAACACAAAGGAAUUGUUCCAACAGGAAUCUCAGCAGAUUGCUCAGAGGAACAGCUGUGCCAAGGUUCCCCGUGCUGCUCCCUUACCAGGUUGUGGAUGAUGUUGGUGAGGGUCCAGACCACGGGGACGCUGAAGAAGGGGA